rnacentral:lncRNA from 1 species
GCUGUUGUUUAUAUGGUCUGGAAGGAAAGGAAUGCUCGACUACAUUCAAACGUGAGUAGACCUACACACGCCAUCAUUCAAGAAGUGAAACAAAUUGUUCGGUUGCGACUUGAUCCUUUGUCUCGCAACAUGAGGAUCACUAGCAGUUCUUCUCUUACUUAUUUAGGUUCUUGGUUAAGUUUGUUUUAAGGGUGUGUUAAAUUUCUUAGAUUUUUUGAGGAAAGUAGGUAGUCUUAAUCUUUGUAACCGGUUGUUGGAAAAUAAAUAAAGAGUAUUGUUAAAAAAAAAAAAAAAAAGCUUCAACCUUUAGCGAGCACAAGUAUUGGAGAGAUCAUAUUCGUUCCGUUCCGACCUUUUGAUUAGUUUCGUCAAUGUUCUCGAUCUCCUAUGAUGUUCGUAUCUGUCUCUUUCAACAACGUAGCCUCUUGUUCUAAUUUGACUUGUCAUCAUCAUCAUCAUCAUCAUCAAGGGAGCAACUGCUAUGACUCAAGUCACCAAUUAAUGCCUCCUUCUUUUGGUAAAUUUUCAUUUCUUCAAUUUUUUUUCUUUAAAACAUUUUUCCAAAAUCGGAAAACAAUAUUCUAAUUUUUUUAUUUAGAUUAAAAUAUUAGCAAAAGGGUUUUAUAUGAUUGAUUAAUGAAGGUUUCCAAAUAGUCUUCAAAUGCUUUUUCAUGUUUUUUUCUAAAAAGUAUUUCGAAAACAUCUUUUCCUAGGUUUUUCUUACUUUCUCAUUCUUCCUCCUCUAUUAUCAACUCUCCAAUUUUCUAUUGUUGCUUCAUUCCUUCAUGCUUUCUAUGACCGUGUGUGAAGGGAAGAGGCGUUCUCUUUAUCAUCAUCAACGAUCACCACGGCGAGUCACCACCACUGGAGUAGCAACCUUGUCAUCACCGGAGGAGAGGACGUGCCAUCGAUAGCCACCAUUGAUUCGCUCGCAGGUGUUACGUAAUGGAUCCGAGAGUUGGAGACGUGAAGGAGUGACGAGCAACCGGAGCCGCCAUGUUCCUCAACCCUCAUAACCACCGGUUCUGGAUCUGUACCACCGUGAGUUGUGAGUCAACGGAGGUGCAGCCCAUGUGGCCUUAAUUGUGGUUUGGUUAAGCCGAAGGAGUCUCAAGGAUGUCAAGCGAUGCCUUGUGCGUUUCUUGCGCAGCAAGCAAGUCAUCCUUCGACAGUAGGUUUGACCUCAUCAUCACUUGUAUUUUAGCUCUUCCAUGUCACGUAUCCC